rnacentral:rRNA from 1 species
UACAGAGGGUGCGAGCGUUGUCCGGAAUCACUGGGCGUAAAGGGCGCGUAGGCGGCGGCCCAAGUCCAUGGUGAAAGCUCGAUGCUCAACAUCGAGUCGGCCACGGAUACUGGGGUGCUCGAGCACUGUAGGGGCAGAUGGAAUUCCGGGUGUAGCGGUGGAAUGCGUAGAGAUCCGGAAGAACACCGGUGGCGAAGGCGGUCUGCUGGGCAGUUGCUGACACUGAGGCGCGACAGCGUGGGGAGCAAACAGG